rnacentral:vault_RNA from 10 species
GCGUCGGCUUAGCCUAGUGGUUACUUCACUUCACAACCUUUGUCUGACACAAAGUUCGUGGGCUCGAAGCCCACCCCUACCACCACGGGCGCAGCCCGGUGCCACU